rnacentral:rRNA from 1 species
UGCGAGUCAGGUAUCGUAAGAUGCCGGCACACUGCUCAGUAACACGUGGAUAAUCUAACCUUGAGUAAGGGAUAACUUCGGGAAACUGAAGGUAAUACCUUAUAAUUGCUUAAAACUGGAAUGUUUUUGCAAUAAAAGUUACGACGCUCAAGGAUGAGUCUGCGACCUAUCAGGUAGUAGGUGGUGUAAUGGACCACCUAGCCUCAGACGGGUACGGGCCCUGGGAGGGGUAGCCCGGAGAUGGACUCUGAGACAUAAGUCCAGGCCCUACGGGGCGCAGCAGGCGCGAACACUGUGCAAUGCGCGAAAGCGCGACACGGGGAGCUUGAGUGUCUUGGCAUAGCCAAGACUUUUCUCAUUCCUAAAAAGCAUGAGGAAUAAGUGCUGGGUAAGACGGGUGCCAGCCGCCGCGGUAACACCCGCAGCACGAGUAGUGGUCACUUUUAUUGAGCCUAAAGCGUUUGUAGCCGGUUUUGCAAAUCUUCAGAUAAAUUCCUCUGCUUAACAAAUGAUC